GUUCUGCUGAAUGGCUGAUUCUUGUGGGAACCUAGAAGACCAGAGGCAGGUGGGCAUGUGGAUGGUGAAGACUGCUCAGCUCAUGAGGCUUUAGGUGGAAAUGAAGGUUGUACCAGGAGCUGGACUAGAGUCUGCUCAGGUUACAUUCUGGCAGAGAACUUGUCUACACUUUCUCUGUACCCUGAGACAUGGUGGGAAGCUGAAUCUGAAGCCGGCAGGUUAGUUAGCCCAGAGAACAUUUCAGAACAGCCCGGCAUGCGGCAUGUGGCGAGUGACAUGCCUUUCAGUGACUACCUUCAGCCACGUUUAAAGUGAGACUUAGGAGCCAACAGCUCAGAGCAGAACGGCAAGAUCUGAAAGCUUUGUAACUUGGUAAGGAAGGCUCUAUGAAGCUGGGACUAAGAAGGCCUGGUGACCGACUCCCUUUAAGCUGUUUUCCUAGGUGUUUGGUCACUACGACGUGAACCUCAACAACUCAAACGUGAGCCCUUGCUUUAAGAACCGGAUCCCUGGAUCUGUGCUUCAAAGCUUCCUGAGGACUGUCCAAUAGCAGCUGCCCACUUCACAGAUCUCCAAGUGACACUCAGAGAAGCAAUGACUUAAGCAAGCUCAAGAUCGGGCUCCAGAAUGGAUUCUAAAACCGCCAUCUCCACACUGAUCCUUUUCACGACAGCACUCACUCAUCAAGGCCUUCAAAACUAUCUUCUACAAACCAGCCUGAACUAGGCUGGGGACUCUGCUGUGUACAAGAGAGAUAACGUGUGCUGGGAAAAACAGACAGAAGCUAUCAUGGAGAAGGAAGUAGCAGAGUGUGUUGGUGAAGAAUGCUGCACUCUGAGAACAAAUUCCAACUCCAACACCCACCUACGAGCCGUGUGACCCAGGAAUAGUUACACAACAGUGCUCACGAAGGGGAUCUUGGGACCCUAGCUCCUCUUCUUCCCUAUGCCAUGAGGACAGCAGCUUUCUUUACGCCACUGCUUGCUCUCUCCCAUGACGUUCUGCCUCCUCACAGGCUCCAGAGCAACAGUUAACAUCCACAAAGUCAUGUCCCUGAACCGUGAAUCAAAGUUGCUUUUCUUGAGUGUGUUCUUAAAGAGACAGAAGGCUUAUGGCACAGCCACAUCCAGGUUCUGCACGGCCGGCCAGUGAACCAUCCCCUCUCCAAUGCCCCCGUGCCCACAGCUUUUCCAUUAGCCAAAGCAAAAGAGGUUGGCAGUGUGGCCUUUAAGACACCCCACUGGCACAUGUUCUUUCAAAAGCCCUCCGUGCCCAGACAUACUUUGCUUCUGCCUACAGCUACUUCCCCCUAGCCAACAGUCAUGGUGUCAAUGAGGAGGGAAUAGUCCCUCAGCCCCUCCCUGUUCAUGCCAACACACCCAGCCUCCUUUACCUAGGCCAUGUGUCACUCUAUCUCCCUUUUUACUUAAAAUCAGCGCAGCUUUAACGUCAGAAUUUCUCUUUAUUAAUAAACAGUAAUAGUUAAGA